rnacentral:rRNA from 1 species
AUACGUAGGGUGCGUGCGUUGUCCGGAAUUACUGGGCGUAAAGAGCUCGUAGGUGGUUUGUCGCGUCGUCUGUGAAAUUCCGGGGCUUAACUCCGGGCGUGCAGGCGAUACGGGCAUAACUUGAGUACUGUAGGGGAGACUGGAAUUCCUGGUGUAGCGGCGAAAUGCGCAGAUAUCAGGAGGAACACCGGUGGCGAAGGCGGGUCUCUGGGCAGUAACUGACGCUGAGGAGCGAAAGCAUGGGUAGCGAACAGGAUUAGAUACCCUGGUAGUCCAUGCCGUAAACGGUGGGCGCUAGGUGUAGGGGUCUUCCACGACUUCUGUGCCGUAGCUAACGCAUUAAGCGCCCCGCCUGGGGAGUACGGCCGCAAGGCUCAAACUCAAAUGAAUUGACGGGG